UGGCCGCAGGCCUAACACAUGCAAGUCGAGCGGCAGCGGGUCCUUCGGGAUGCCGGCGAGCGGCGGACGGGUGAGUAAUGCCUAGGAAUCUGCCUGAUAGUGGGGGAUAACGUUCGGAAACGGACGCUAAUACCGCAUACGUCCUACGGGAGAAAGCGGGGGAUCUUCGGACCUCGCGCUAUCAGAUGAGCCUAGGUCGGAUUAGCUAGUUGGUGAGGUAAUGGCUCACCAAGGCGACGAUCCGUAACUGGUCUGAGAGGAUGAUCAGUCACACUGGAACUGAGACACGGUCCAGACUCCUACGGGAGGCAGCAGUGGGGAAUAUUGGACAAUGGGCGAAAGCCUGAUCCAGCCAUGCCGCGUGUGUGAAGAAGGUCUUCGGAUUGUAAAGCACUUUAAGUUGGGAGGAAGGGCAGUAAGCUAAUACCUUGCUGUUUUGACGUUACCAACAGAAUAAGCACCGGCUAACUUCGUGCCAGCAGCCGCGGUAAUACGAAGGGUGCAAGCGUUAAUCGGAAUUACUGGGCGUAAAGCGCGCGUAGGUGGUUCAGCAAGUUGGAUGUGAAAGCCCUGGGCUCAACCUGGGAACUGCAUCCAAAACUACUGAGCUAGAGUACGGUAGAGGGUGGUGGAAUUUCCUGUGUAGCGGUGAAAUGCGUAGAUAUAGGAAGGAACACCAGUGGCGAAGGCGACCACCUGGACUGAUACUGACUCUGA
rnacentral:rRNA from 1 species